GACGAACGCUGGCGGCGUGCCUAAUACAUGCAAGUUGAGCGCUGAAGGUUGGUACUUGUACCGACUGGAUGAGCAGCGAACGGGUGAGUAACGCGUGGGGAAUCUGCCUUUGAGCGGGGGACAACAUUUGGAAACGAAUGCUAAUACCGCAUAAAAACUUUAAACACAAGUUUUAAGUUUGAAAGAUGCAAUUGCAUCACUCAAAGAUGAUCCCGCGUUGUAUUAGCUAGUUGGUGAGGUAAAGGCUCACCAAGGCGAUGAUACAUAGCCGACCUGAGAGGGUGAUAGGCCACAUUGGGACUGAGACACGGCCCAAAAUCCUACGGGAGGCAGCAGUAGGGAAACUUCGGCAAUGGACGAAAGUCUGACCGAGCAACGCCGCGUGAGUGAAGAAGGUUUUCGGAUCGGAAAAAUCUGUUGGUAGAGAAGAACGUUGGUGAGAGUGGAAAGCUCAUCAAGUGACGGUAACUACCCAGAAAGGGACGGCUAACUACGUG
rnacentral:rRNA from 1 species